CACAGCUUUUAGCACCCUCAACUCAAUGGCAAAUGACACUACCAAAGACCUCAACCUAUGGAAGUCCCAUUGCAACAAAAAUGUGGAGUUCUCUGGUACUGAAACAGAACAAGAAAGGAGCUGCUAAAAGCUCUGGCAAGUUUAAAGUGGUUGCCUUGUCUGAAAACAGCACUGUCAACAGGCUAGAGAACUUACUAAACAUGGACGUCACUCCAUACACCGACA
rnacentral:lncRNA from 1 species